rnacentral:lncRNA from 1 species
UUUAAAAUUGUAAAUUUGAGAUUUUAAAAUUUAAAAUUUUAAUUUUAAUUUUUAAAUUAAAAGUUUAUAUUUUAAAUUUUAAAAUAUAAAUAUAAAAUAUAAAAUUUUAAAUUCUAAUAUAAAGAAAAAGAUAAUAUCAUUAUUUUUUAUUUUUAACUACCAACUUUAGUUCUUAUCCCAUCUUACCUAACCAAAAGCUAUUUUUCUUAUUCCCAGUAAUAACUCAAUUUUCAUCUAAACGCAAAAUUGAUCUAAUCCUCGCUUAUACCUCAAUUUAUAUCUAUCCGCGGAAUACCUACUUUUUGCUUAUCCCCGAACCAAACGUUACCUAGAGUUAAAAUCUGUUAAUGAACUAUGUUAUCUCUGUAAAAUUACUAUUUUGCCCUUUCAAUAUACUCUUCCACCAUCACCGAUUUUCUUAUUUGCCCUUAAAGUCAGGGGCACAAAAAGUAUUUUGAUUUUUGAUUUUCCAAUAUACCCCUCUACCGUCACCAAUAUUUCUUAUUUGCCCUUAAGUUAAAGCAAAAUUGGUAUUUUAAUUUUUUUAAACUGUGGUAGAUAUUUAACUCACGUUUAACCCAAGUUAAUUUAACAGAAGAUAACUGCAGAGGAAUUUUGCAAUAACGGUGGAACAUAUGAGGGGUAUUUUAGAAAGAAAAAAAUAUAGGGGUAAAUCAAAUAUUUUAAAAUGUAUGAGGGGUAUAUAGG